GAUGAAGAACGUAGCGAAAUGUGAUAAGUAAUGUGAAUUGCAGAAUUCAGUGAAUCAUCGAAUCUUUGAACGCACCUUGCGCUCUCUGGUAUUCCGGAGAGCAUGCCUGUUUGAGUGUCAUGAACUCUUCAACCCACCAGUUUCUUGUUAGACUGGCUGGUGUUUGGAUUUUGAGUGUUGCUGGUCUUCGGACGUAGCUCAUUCGUAAUACAUUAGCAUCUCAAUUUCGAAACUCGGAUUGACUCAGCGUGAUAGACUAUUCGCUGAGGACACCUUAGGGUGGCCGAAUAAGAAGACAGUAGAAGCUUAUAAUCAGAUCUUAGUCAAUUUUAGAUUAGACCUCAGAUCAGGCAGGAUUACCCGCUGAACUUAAGCAUAUCAAUAAGCGGAGGA
rnacentral:misc_RNA from 1 species